GAUGAAGAACGUAGCGAAAUGCGAUACUUGGUGUGAAUUGCAGAAUCCCGUGAAUCAUCGAGUCUUUGAACGCAAGUUGCGCCCGAAGCCUUUUGGCCGAGGGCACGUCUGCCUGGGUGUCACGCAACGUCGCCGCCAGCACACCCUUCCCUUAGGGGAUCGGGAUGUAGCUGGGGGCGGAUUUUGGCCUCCCGUGCGCCUCAGCGCGCGCGGUUGGCCUAAAUUUCAGCUCACGGCGAGGAUCGCCACGACAAGCGGUGGUUUUUUGAACUAAGGACCUCGGGUGUUGUCGUGCGGCCUCGCGGAGAGAAGGAACCCCCAUGCGCUAGCGCACACUCUUAACGAGACCCCAGGUCAGUCGGGAACACCCGCUGAAUUUAAGCAUAUCAAUAAGCGGAGGA
rnacentral:misc_RNA from 1 species